GACGAACGCUGGCGGCGUGCCUAAUACAUGCAAGUCGAACGGUCUUUUCUAUGGAAGCUUGCUUCCACUGAGAAGAUAGUGGCGGACGGGUGAGUAACACGUGGGUAACCUGCCCAUAAGAGGGGGAUAACAUCCGGAAACGGGUGCUAAUACCGCAUAGUUUUUUUGAUCGCAUGAUCGGGAAAGGAAAGACGGCCUUUGUGCUGUCGCUUAUGGAUGGACCCGCGGCGUAUUAGUUAGUUGGUGAGGUAAUGGCUCACCAAGACGAUGAUACGUAGCCGACCUGAGAGGGUGAUCGGCCACAUUGGGACUGAGACACGGCCCAAACUCCUACGGGAGGCAGCAGUAGGGAAUCUUCCGCAAUGGACGAAAGUCUGACGGAGCAACGCCGCGUGAGUGAAGAAGGUUUUCGGAUCGUAAAACUCUGU
rnacentral:rRNA from 1 species